AAAACCACACACUGUCCAUUUCAGCAUGUUUGCUGUUCUUUAGAACUGAAGACUUUUCUGUUCGCUGAAUAUCUCAGAGUUGUGAUGGAUGGGUCAUCGCUCUUCAGCUCAACACAAGACUACUUGCUGGCCCCUUCCUGUGAAAACACCACUGUUUCCGUUUUUUUUUUUUUUCUAAAACUAGUCGAAGAAACUUUGUUAAUCCCUGACAUGAACUUUUCUGUGAACAGUUUUGGACUGCUGUCUUGAACUGGAUGCGAGACCCGUGAGCUGCUCCAAACGCAGCUGUGCUUAGUCCGCUGUGCGACUAUCUUCACAUCUAUAAAUUAAGAAAUAUAAUGAAAACAAUUAAAAGAAAUUCAUUCAUGGCAGACGAUCUGUGGAGCAUCACAGACCAUCACAGAGAAUUCAACUAAAAGAAAAAGAAAAAUGCCAAACCAAGAGAGCAAGAGACAAUCUUCAGGACCAGGAGAGAAACAGAUGCUGAGACUAACCAGAAGAAACAGCAUUAACAGCGGAAAACCAAACUGUGAGUAUUCAUCAUAUUAAAUAUAAAACACGGUGACAUGUCGAUCAUCAAUACAUAAUCAACAAUAGCUUUAACAUUUAUCCACUUCAUAAAAACUGUGAGGAUAAUCA